rnacentral:rRNA from 1 species
GAUAAACGCUGGCGGCGUGCUUAACACAUGCAAGUCGAACGAAGUUUUUCCUUCGGGAGAAACUUAGUGGCGGACGGGUGAGUAACGCGUGGGUAACCUGCCCUGUACAGGGGGACAACAGCUGGAAACGGCUGCUAAUACCGCAUAAGCCCUUAGCACUGCAUGGUGCAUAGGGAAAAGGAGCAAUCCGGUACAGGAUGGACCCGCGUCUGAUUAGCCAGUUGGCAGGGUAACGGCCUACCAAAGCGACGAUCAGUAGCCGAUCUGAGAGGAUGUACGGCCACAUUGGGACUGAGACACGGCCCAGACUCCUACGGGAGGCAGCAGUGGGGAAUAUUGCACAGUGGAGGAAACUCUGAUGCAGCGACGCCGCGUGAGUGAAGAAGUAUUUCGGUAUGUAAAGCUCUAUCAGCAGGGAAGAAAAUGACGGUACCUGACUAAGAAGCACCGGCUAAAUACGUG